AACGAACGCUGGCGGCAGGCCUAACACAUGCAAGUCGAGCGAAGCCUUCGGGCUUAGCGGCGGACGGGUGAGUAACGCGUGGGAACGUGCCCUUUGGUACGGAAUAGCCCCGGGAAACUGGGAGUAAUACCGUAUGUGCCCUUCGGGGGAAAGAUUUAUCGCCAAAGGAUCGGCCCGCGUUGGAUUAGGUAGUUGGUGGGGUAAUGGCCUACCAAGCCGACGAUCCAUAGCUGGUUUGAGAGGAUGAUCAGCCACACUGGGACUGAGACACGGCCCAGACUCCUACGGGAGGCAGCAGUGGGGAAUCUUAGACAAUGGGGGAAACCCUGAUCUAGCCAUGCCGCGUGAUCGAUGAAGGCCUUAGGGUUGUAAAGAUCUUUCAGUGGGGAAGAUAAUGACUGUACCCACAGAAGAAGCCCCGGCUAACUCCGUGCCAACAGCCGCCGCCG
rnacentral:rRNA from 1 species